rnacentral:lncRNA from 13 species
UUAUUAAUAUGAUUAUUAUUAUUAAUAUGAUUAUUAAUAAUAUUAUUAUAAAUAAUAUUAUUAAUAGUAUUAUUAUUAAUGUUGUACUUUCUAUCUAUUCCCAUUAACAUUGAGAUAAGUCAUUGUUUUUGCUUGCAGUUGCAGGACAUCCAAGUAUCUCUAUCAACACCUUGUCGGAGACUGAUGCCUCUAACAGUGAAGGGCCAUCAACUGGGCCAUCUGAGGUCCUAGCAAGAGGAGAUAUCUUGGCCAUAGCCUUCGGAGCUCUCUUUGCCGUCACUUUGCUGCUAUUCACGCUCUACGCAUACCAACAGCGUAAAAAAUACUCUAGGUAGGUAAGACUUCUUGAUUUUCUCAUUUCUGACAUAUUAUGAGUUCUGGUUUUGUUCCCAGCAUUUCCCAGAAUAAAGACAGUCUUUGGCCUGCCUGUCCAAUCAUAAAACCCAAAGUCCAUGGAAAGAUGCCUCUGUUUUGGUAUGCAACAGAUGUUCAUUGCUGAAGACCAAAUGUCCUUUGUCAAAGACCAAAAUGUCCUUUGUCAAAGAUUUAUU